ensembl:rRNA 5S_rRNA 5S ribosomal RNA
GCUUACGGCCAUACCAGCCCAAGAACGCCCGGUCUCGUCUGAUCUCGGAAGCUAAGAAGGCUUGGGCCUGGUUAGUACUCGGAUGGGAGACUGCCUGAGAAUACCAGGUGCUGUAAGCU